rnacentral:rRNA from 1 species
GACGAACGCUGGCGGCGUGCUUAACACAUGCAAGUCGAACGGAAAGGCCCUGCUUUUGUGGGGUGCUCGAGUGGCGAACGGGUGAGUAACACGUGAGUAACCUGCCCUUGACUUUGGGAUAACUUCAGGAAACUGGGGCUAAUACCGGAUAGGAGCUCCUGCUGCAUGGUGGGGGUUGGAAAGUUUCGGCGGUUGGGGAUGGACUCGCGGCUUAUCAGCUUGUUGGUGGGGUAGUGGCUUACCAAGGCUUUGACGGGUAGCCGGCCUGAGAGGGUGACCGGCCACAUUGGGACUGAGAUACGGCCCAGACUCCUACGGGAGGCAGCAGUGGGGAAUAUUGCACAAUGGGCGGAAGCCUGAUGCAGCAACGCCGCGUGCGGGAUGACGGCCUUCGGGUUGUAAACCGCUUUCGCCUGUGACGAAGCGUGAGUGACGGUAAUGGGUAAAGAAGCACCGGCUAACUACGUGCCAGCAGCCGCGGUGAUACGUAGGGUGCGAGCGUUGUCCGGAUUUAUUGGGCGUAAAGGGCUCGUAGGUGGUUGAUCGCGUCGGAAGUGUAAUCUUGGGGCUUAACCCUGAGCGUGCUUUCGAUACGGGUUGACUUGAGGAAGGUAGGGGAGAAUGGAAUUCCUGGUGGAGCGGUGGAAUGCGCAGAUAUCAGGAGGAACACCAGUGGCGAAGGCGGUUCUCUGGGCCUUUCCUGACGCUGAGGAGCGAAAGGGUGGGGAGCGAACAGGCUUAGAUACCCUGGUAGUCCACGCUGUAAACGGUGGGUACUAGGUGUGGGGUUCAUUCCACGGGUUCCGUGCCGUAGCUAACGCUUUAAGUACCCCGCCUGGGGAGUACGGCCGCAAGGCUAAAACUCAAAGGAAUUGACGGGGCCCCGCACAAGCGGCGGAGCAUGCGGAUUAAUUCGAUGCAACGCGUAAAACCUUACCUGGGUUUGACAUGGAUCGGGAGUGCUCAGAGAUGGGUGUGCCUCUUUUGGGGUCGGUUCACAGGUGGUGCAUGGCUGUCGUCAGCUCGUGUCGUGAGAUGUUGGGUUAAGUCCCGCAACGAGCGCAACCCUUGUUCACUGUUGCCAGCACGUUAUGGUGGGGACUCAGUGGAGACCGCCGGGGUCAACUCGGAGGAAGGUGGGGAUGACAUCAAGUCAUCAUGCCCCUUAUGUCCAGGGCUUCACGCAUGCUACAAUGGCUGGUACAGAGAGUGGCGAGCCUGUGAGGGUGAGCGAAUCUCGGAAAGCCGGUCUCAGUUCGGAUUGGGGUCUGCAACUCGACCUCAUGAAGUCGGAGUCGCUAGUAAUCGCAGAUCAGCAACGCUGCGGUGAAUACGUUCCCGGGGCU